AUGAACGCUGGCGGCGUGCCUCAUACAUGCAAGUCGCGCGAACAGACGAGGAGCUUGCUCCUCUGACGUUAGCGGCGGACGGGGGAGUAACACGUGGAUAACCUACCUAUAAGACUGGGAUAACUUCGGGAAACCGGAGCUAAUACCGGAUAAUAUAUUGAACCGCAUGGUUCAAUAGUGAAAGACGGUUUUGCUGUCACUUAUAGAUGGAUCCGCGCCGCAUUAGCUAGUUGGUAAGGUAACGGCUUACCAAGGCAACGAUGCGUAGCCGACCUGAGAGGGUGAUCGGCCACACUGGAACUGAGACACGGUCCAGACUCCUACGGGAGGCAGCAGUAGGGAAUCUUCCGCAAUGGGCGAAAGCCUGACGGAGCAACGCCGCGUGAGUGAUGAAGGUCUUCGGAUCGUAAAACUCUGUUAUUAGGGAAGAACAAAUGUGUAAGUAACUAUGCACGUCUUGACGGUACCUAAUCAGAAAGCCACGGCUAACUACGUG
rnacentral:rRNA from 1 species